UUUAGUAGAGACAGGGUUUUGCCACGUCGGCCAUGCUGGUCUUGAACUCUUGACCUCAGGCGAUCCGCCUGCCUCAGCCUCCCAAAGUGCUGGGAUUAUAGGCAUGAGCCACCGCGCCCAGCCUACUCAUUAAAUUGAAGGGGGGUAAUAUGCAGGAAAAUGAUGGAAUCAAAUUGCCAGAAUGUUAACAGCAGUUAAUUUGGGUGUUGGGAAUGGAAGUAAUUUUUUUUGGUGGUUUUUUGUACUUUUUUCAAAUUUCCUGAAAUGCAAAUAAAAGAAAUCCUGCCUGAACACAUCUAAAGGAGGUGAGACGAACAGGGAGAAAGACUGGAGGGAAGGUUCCAAGUCCAAGUUCCAGGAAGGGUGGCCAGGGAAGUCCACGCGCCAGCAGUGAUGAUAGUGGACCUCAGUUGCUUUGCUUUUGUGUGUGCCUGUCCAGUGUUCAUUCUGCCUCCUGACAUCCCUCAUUCCCUUUAGGCUCUCCACCUCCUCCCCUGAUUCAGUUUUGGUGGAACUGCUUCCCUGGCCAAAGCUCAGGGGCCAGUCAGACCCUUCUCCCCAGGACUUGGGCGCAUCACCUCCUCCUGGAAGCCUUCCCUCGGCUGGGGCAGGUGCCUCUCUUCGAUGCCUGAGUUCCAGCUGUCAAAGCACUUAUAUGCCAGUAUGUUUAUCUGCCCUCUCCUUCACCCCGCCUCAGCCUUGAAAAGUGCCUGGCACAUGGUUGGUGCUCAAUAAAUGUUGGAUGAAUGAUGCCUGUGUUGCUUAGAGCUGAAGAAGGGGCUUGAAUGUUAGAUUAAAAGAUUCCAGAAACUCUUGUGGAUGUUCCAUAGGAUGUGGCUGCAGCUUCCAGGCUCUCCAGUCUAAUUCCAGCCCAUGGCCUCUUCUUAUUGACCAGGGCGCACUUACCCAAGUUCGCCUUCCCUGAGUCCCCACUGUCCCGCACCUAUGCGUCAGGCCUUUGAUCCUGCCCAGUCCCCAGUUUUCCUGCCCUGCCUUGUGCAGAAACUUGAAUGUUAGGUUGGGGUAUUGCCUUGAAGGGGCCACAGAAAGAACAUUUACUUUAGAGAGUCACCACCAUCCUCAGACUACACCUUGUAGAUUUAGAAACCUGGACACCAUUUGGAACGAUGUUGCAGACUGUCAGUGUUUGCCUCUGAGUCUCAUUUGUGUGCAGGCAGAUUGUACAUUCUUUCUUUAGAAAUGUCAGUACCUCUCAGUCCAGUCUGACUUUGGCCUUAGGUCAUUCUGACAUGUAAGGAUAAUUAGCAGCAGAACCAGGAGUCACAGCUGGGCAGCCCAACCAGAGAGUCCUUGCUCACCACCUCCACACUCCACUCUACUAACUCACAGUGUGUUAGAAGCACACUGGGGUUCUUUUCUUGUGCUGAAGAGGUUUAGACUGUUAGAAAAAUGUAAGUAUGAGUCAGGCGCAGUGGCUCUUGCCUGUAAUCCCAGCACUUUGGGAGGCCAAGGCAGGAGGAUCAUUUGAGCCCAGGAAUUCAAGACCAGCCUGGGCAACAUAGUGAGACCCUGUCUCUAUAAAAUAAGAUAAGAAGAUAAGAUAAAAUAAAAUAAAAUAGUGUACGUAUGUUUCUAGGAUCAAAUUCUGAAAUCUGUCCUCAUUUUUCCUGCCAGGAGGAGGAGGGGGAUUAGAAUAAUUACAGAAUAUUACAGACUAUAGUUUGCAGUUUAAAAGAAAUCAAUAAUAUUUGCUAAUCUUAGAAACUGUAAAGAUAACUGCUAGUAGAACAAACAGAAUGUGUAACCUUCAAGCCAGUGGAUAGAUCAGUUAAGGUUCUUGGUUGCAAAUGACUCCAGCCAACUUCAGCAGAAAAAGAACUUAUUGAAAUGCUCUCAGUAGCUCAAAUAUCAACAGGAAGGCAGGAAAAACUGGCUGAGAAAAAGGGCGGAACCCAAGACAGACUGGGCAGGAUACUGCUGUCAGUGCUGCUGCCCCUGGACACGCCUGCCCCUGUUGUUGUGCGUCUUAGUGUCACUUGCUCCAGAUACAGGUCCCACGUUGGGUCACCCAGCUGGCUUGGUCCAUCAUGUACCAAUAGAUGUCAGCAGUGGAGAGUGUCCAGAACUCUUUCACCCCUGUAAGUGGGAGACUGGGCUUAGUCUUCCACUGAGUCACACAAUGAGAGAUUCCCCCCAAUAAGAAAGGAGUUCAAAUGCUAGGGUGUGCCCCCUCUCCC
rnacentral:lncRNA from 1 species